GAGGAAUAUUGGACAAUGGACGAAAGUCUGAUCCAGCCAUGCCGCGUGCAGGAUGACGGCCCUAUGGGUUGUAAACUGCUUUUAUACAGGAAGAAACACUCCCACGUGUGGGGGCUUGACGGUACUGUACGAAUAAGGAUCGGCUAACUCCGUGCCAGCAGCCGCGGUAAUACGGAGGAUCCAAGCGUUAUCCGGAAUUAUUGGGUUUAAAGGGUCCGCAGGCGGUCUAUUAAGUCAGAGGUGAAAUCUUGCAGCUCAACUGUAAAAUUGCCUUUGAUACUGGUAGACUUGAGUCAUUGUGAAGUGGUUAGAAUGUGUGGUGUAGCGGUGAAAUGCAUAGAUAUCACACAGAAUACCAAUUGCGAAGGCAGAUCACUAACAAUGUACUGACGCUCAUGGACGAAAGCGUGGGGAGCGAACAGG
rnacentral:rRNA from 1 species